CGCGAGUGGCCGGAGUUCCGCCGCAGUCCGCCGCAGCGCGGCCGGGAGGGGAGACAAGCGAGUUGCAUCCGCAACGCCCGCAGUGUUUUGCGUCAAGCUUCUCCAGUCUUCCCUUCAUUCACCAGAACAUUUAUCAAGCAUCAACUGUGGGAGAAGGUCGAUGAGAAGCAACAUCAGAAGUGGCUUUGUCCUGAGCACAGCCGGUACUGGACAAGACAGCACAUAGUGG